rnacentral:rRNA from 1 species
CUACGGGACGCAGCAGUCGAGAAUAUUCCACAAUGGGCGAAAGCCUGAUGGAGCGACGCCGCGUGCGGGAUGACAGCCUUCGGGUUGUAAACCGCUUUUAUAAGUGAAGAAUUUCGAUGACAUUAACUUAUGAAUAAGAGGUUGCUAACUACGUGCCAGCAGCAGCGGUAAUACGUAGACCUCAAGCGUUAUCCGGAUUUAUUGGGCGUAAAGGGUGGGCAGGCGGUUAAGAUAGUCAGAUGUUAAAUCACAGGGCUCAACCUUGUGGCUGCAUUUGAAACGUCUUAACUAGAGACAGGUAGAGGCAAACGGAACUCAUGGUGUAGCAGUGAAAUGCGUUGAUAUCAUGGGGAACACCAAAGGCGAAGGCAGUUUGCUGGGCCUUGUCUGACGCUAAGCCACGAAAGCGUGGGUAGCGAACGGGAUUAGAUACCCGAGUAGUC